CUACGGGGGGCUGCAGUGAGGAAUAUUGCACAAUGGAGGAAACUCUGAUGCAGCAACGCCGCGUGGAGGAUGACGCAUUUCGGUGUGUAAACUCCUUUUAUAUGUCAAGAAAAUGACGGUAGCAUAUGAAUAAGCUCCGGCUAACUCCGUGCCAGCAGCCGCGGUAAUACGGAGGGAGCAAGCGUUACUCGGAAUCACUGGGCGUAAAGGACGCGUAGGCGGGAUAGAAAGUCAGGUGUGAAAUCCUAUGGCUCAACCAUAGAACUGCACUUGAAACUUCUAACCUAGAGUAUGGGAGGGGAAGAUGGAAUUAGUGGUGUAGGGGUAAAAUCCGUAGAUAUCACUAGGAAUACCAAAAGCGAAGGCGAUCUUCUGGAACAAUACUGACGCUAAGGCGUGAAAGCGUGGGGAGCAAACAGGAUUAGAUACCCCCGUAGUC
rnacentral:rRNA from 1 species